GGUGGCUCAGUGGUAGAGUGCUUGCCUUGCAUGCAAGAGGUCCUGGUUCAAUUCCUUAGCACCA
rnacentral:tRNA from 1 species